ACUGCCCCUAGUCAUUGUAGGUAUGGCUACUGUGUCACAUGUGCAUCAAUAGGAGGCAGAGAGGAAAGAGGUUAUGUCUACUACACUCAGUGCUCUGACCUGUGAACAUCUGAAUGAUGAGUAGCCUAACCUU